GAUGAAGAACGUAGCGAAAUGCGAUAAGUAAUGUGAAUUGCAGAAUCCAGUGAAUCAUCGAAUCUUUGAACGCACAUUGCGCCCGCCAGCAUUCUGGCGGGCAUGCCUGUUCGAGCGUCAUUUCAACCCUCGACCUCCCCUUGGGGAGGUCGGCGUUGGGGACCGGCAGCACACCGCCGGCCCUGAAAUGGAGUGGCGGCCCGUCUGCGGCGACCUCUGCGUAGUAAUACAGCUCGCACCGGAACCCCGACGCGGCCACGCCGUAAAACACCCAACUUCUGAACGUUGACCUCGAAUCAGGUAGGACUACCCGCUGAACUUAAGCAUAUAAUAAGCGGAGGA
rnacentral:misc_RNA from 1 species